rnacentral:lncRNA from 1 species
UUGAAAGCUUUAUGCAUUGGUGAAGGGAUCUUCGGGAGCACAGGAAAUGAUGAUAAGAAGAGAUGCUGGGAAAUUCUCCAGAACUAGGAAACAGCCUGAAACAAGAAUAUAGACUAGAAGAGUCCUGGAUUCUGUGUCAGAAAGUCUCCAGUUGGACCAGUACCACCAUGGAUAGCUCAGAGCCCCUGCACAAGGUGGAUGAAGUUGCCCAGAUGCAUUCCAGAGCAAAUACCUCCUUCUCUUUAAGGUAUUGA